GGCUUCUCAAUCGUAAUCGUACCUUCUCAGUUCUCACCCUCAUCUGCUCUCAGGCUUCAUUCAGUGCGCUCCCGCAGACAGUAAUCUCGUUGAGAGCUCUGCUGAUCCCUAACGGCUACUGAAUCCUGAAGAACGGGGAAGUCGGUUCACAAUACCUGCGAGGAUGUAGCUUUGUUCCUCGAUAUCCUCAAGAAACACAGGGAUGGCAUUAUGAUGGCCUGGAAUGCACAACAGGCAAAACUUAAUCAGAUGGGAGCAAAGGAAGUUCAACUAGGAUAGCAGGAAAUGGUCCGGACUCCAAAAAUUCUCUGA